UACGGAGGGUGCGAGCGCUGUCCGGAAUCAUUGGGCGUAAAGGGCGCGUAGGUGGUCCGGUCAGUCCGUGGUGAAAGCGCGGGGCUCAACCCCGCGUCGGCCAUGGAUACUGCUGGGCUGGAGCACUGUAGAGGCAGGCGGAAUUCCGGGUGUAGCGGUGGAAUGCGUAGAGAUCCGGAAGAACACCGGUGGCGAAGGCGGCCUGCUGGGCAGUUGCUGACACUGAGGCGCGACAGCGUGGGGAGCAAACAGG
rnacentral:rRNA from 1 species